GACAGUGGCUCAGUGGCAGAGCAUCUGCUUUGAAUGCAGACAGUCCCAGGCUCAACCUCUGGAAUCACCA
rnacentral:tRNA from 1 species